GGUUAAGCGACUAAGCGUACACGGUGGAUGCCCUGGCAGUCAGAGGCGAUGAAGGACGUGCUAAUCUGCGAUAAGCGUCGGUAAGGUGAUAUGAACCGUUAUAACCGGCGAUUUCCGAAUGGGGAAACCCAGUGUGUUUCGACACACUAUCAUUAACUGAAUCCAUAGGUUAAUGAGGCGAACCGGGGGAACUGAAACAUCUAAGUACCCCGAGGAAAAGAAAUCAACCGAGAUUCCCCCAGUAGCGGCGAGCGAACGGGGAGCAGCCCAGAGCCUGAAUCAGUAUGUGUGUUAGUGGAAGCGUCUGGAAAGGCGCGCGAUACAGGGUGACAGCCCCGUACACAAAAAUGCACAUGCUGUGAGCUCGAUGAGUAGGGCGGGACACGUGGUAUCCUGUCUGAAUAUGGGGGGACCAUCCUCCAAGGCUAAAUACUCCUGACUGACCGAUAGUGAACCAGUACCGUGAGGGAAAGGCGAAAAGAACCCCGGCGAGGGGAGUGAAAAAGAACCUGAAACCGUGU
rnacentral:rRNA from 1 species